ACCAGUCUUGGAUUGAGAAACAGCCCAUAAGAAAAUUAAUUAGUGGUUUUCCCAUGGUUACAAAUAAGAGAAGUAAUUAUCUCCUGUUUUAUCCUAAUAAGCUUAACUGUGUUAGGUUGAUCAGUCCUGGCUUUCUACAUUGAAGAAAAGUGAGCAUUCAUCAUUUCAACACAACAGUCUUUCCCAUGGGACACAUGGUGCUUUUUAUUACAUUUACUUACUAGUAAGGAAAGAGUUAUGAGACAUUAGAAAAUGCAGGUGAUGUAUCAACAGGCCACAGUUGGAUUUUUAUCCUAAAAGACAGUUUGAAUUCCUUCCUAUGACUUUUUAUAGUCUGUGCAUUUUUAAAAAUAGGAUAGGAAGUGACAUUUUAAUAGAGCAUUCAGACAGAAUGCCAGGAGGAAAAGAGAAAUACUUUCACUGACCACCAGUUUUAUCUUAGGAAAUUAAGUCAAGAAGAGUAUGAGCGACAACAAAGAGAGCAGAGGCUAUCAGCUGCUGAUGAAAAGGCAGAUUUGGCUGCAGAGGAAGUAAAAACUUACAAGCGGAGAAUAGAAGAAAUGGAGAAUGAAUUACAGAAAACAGAGCGAUUAUUUAAAAACCAGAUAGCUACCCAUGAG